CCGGCGUGGUGGUCGGCCGGCCAUGACGGGGCGCUUACUGUGAGGCGAGCGUUUUGUGCUGGUUGACAACUGCUUCUUUAGUCCCGGAGAGGACCAACUCCCGCCAUGGAGGGCCUGGGUUCAAAUCUUUAUAUUCCCUCACGAGCCUUGGAACCUUGGGGUGGGGGGGACAAAACAGAAAGAUGGAUUUAAAACGGAAGCGAAGAGCCGAGCGCCCGUGUGGCUCAUGCCUGGAAUCCUCGGGAGGCUGAGACCUGAGCAUCACGGUUCGAAGCCAGCUCAGUCGGGAAAGCCCCCGAGAAUCCGAAAAAGCUGGAAGAGGCGCCGUGGCUCAAG